GUGGGGAAUCUUAGACAAUGGGGGAAACCCUGAUCUAGCCAUGCCGCGUGAGCGAUGAAGGCCUUAGGGUUGUAAAGCUCUUUCAGCUGGGAAGAUAAUGACGGUACCAGCAGAAGAAGCACCGGCUAACUCCGUGCCAGCAGCCGCGGUAAUACGGAGGGGGCUAGCGUUGUUCGGAAUUACUGGGCGUAAAGCGCGCGUAGGCGGACCAGAAAGUUGGAGGUGAAAUCCCAGGGCUCAACCUUGGAACUGCCUUCAAAACUCCUGGUCUGGAGGUCGGGAGAGGUGAGUGGAAUUCCGAGUGUAGAGGUGAAAUUCGUAGAUAUUCGGAGGAACACCAGUGGCGAAGGCGGCUCACUGGCUCGAUACUGACGCUGAGGUGCGAAAGCGUGGGGAGCAAACAGGAUUAGAAACCCGUGUAGUCC
rnacentral:rRNA from 1 species